GACGAACGCUGGCGGCGUGCUUAACACAUGCAAGUCGAACGGAAAGGCCCUGCUUUUGUGGGGUGCUCGAGUGGCGAACGGGUGAGUAACACGUGAGUAACCUGCCCUUGACUUUGGGAUAACUUCAGGAAACUGGGGCUAAUACCGGAUAGGAGCUCCUGCUGCAUGUUGGGGGUUGGAAAGUUUCGGCGGUUGGGGAUGGACUCGCGGCUUAUCAGCUUGUUGGUGGGGUAGUGGCUUACCAAGGCUUUGACGGGUAGCCGGCCUGAGAGGGUGACCGGCAACAUUGGGACUGAGAUACGGCCCAGAAUCCUACGGGAGGCAGCAGUGGGGAAUAUUGCACAAUGGGCGGAAGCCUGAUGCAGCAACGCCGCGUGCGGGAUGACGGCCUUCGGGUUGUAAACCGCUUUCGCCUGUGACGAAGCGUGAGUGACGGUAAUGGGUAAAGAAGCACCGGCUAACUACGUG
rnacentral:rRNA from 1 species